rnacentral:rRNA from 1 species
AUUGAACGCUGGCGGCAGGCCUAACACAUGCAAGUCGAGCGGAUGAAGGGAGCUUGCUCCUGGAUUCAGCGGCGGACGGGUGAGUAAUGCCUAGGAAUCUGCCUGGUAGUGGGGGAUAACGUCCGGAAACGGGCGCUAAUACCGCAUACGUCCUGAGGGAGAAAGUGGGGGAUCUUCGGACCUCACGCUAUCAGAUGAGCCUAGGUCGGAUUAGCUAGUUGGUGGGGUAAAGGCCUACCAAGGCGACGAUCCGUAACUGGUCUGAGAGGAUGAUCAGUCACACUGGAACUGAGACACGGUCCAGACUCCUACGGGAGGCAGCAGUGGGGAAUAUUGGACAAUGGGCGAAAGCCUGAUCCAGCCAUGCCGCGUGCGUGAAGAAGGUCUUCGGAUUGUAAAGCACGUUAAGUUGGGAGGAAGGGCAGUAAGUUAAUACCUUGCUGUUUUGACGGUACCAACAGAAUAAGCACCGGCUAACUUCGUG